GCCUGUGUAGCUCAGUGAUCAGAGCGACUGCCUUGUAAGCAGUAGGUCGGGGGUUUGACUCCCUCCACAGGCU
rnacentral:tRNA from 1 species